ACACGACUCUCGGCAACGGAUAUCUCGGCUCUCGCAUCGAUGAAGAACGUAGCGAAAUGCGAUACCUGGUGUGAAUUGCAGAAUCCCGCGAACCAUCGAGUCUUUGAACGCAAGUUGCGCCCGAGGCCAUUCGGNNGAGGGCACGCCUGCCUGGGCGUCACGC
rnacentral:rRNA from 1 species